rnacentral:rRNA from 1 species
GCAUAUCAAUAAGCGGAGGAAAAGAAACCAACAGGGAUUGCCUCAGYAACGCGCGAGUGAAGCGGCAASAGCUCAAAUUUGAAAUCUGGCCUCUUGGGGGUCCGAGUUGUAAUUUGUAGAGGAUGUUUCGGGUACCGCCUCGGUUUAAAUUUCUUGGAACAGAAUGUCAGAGAGGGUGAGAAUCCCGUCUUGGACCGGCGGUAGGGCCCAUGUGAAACUCCUUCGACGAGUCGAGUUGUUUGGGAAUGCAGCUCAAAAUGGGUGGUAAAUUUCAUCUAAAGCUAAAUAUUGGCCAGAGACCGAUAGCGCACAAGUAGAGUGAUCGAAAGAUGAAAAGAACUUUGAAAAGAGAGUUAAACAGUAUGUGAAAUUGUUGAAAGGGAAGCGCUUGCAACCAGACUUGAGCGCGGCGGUUCCCCCUUCCUUUUGGUUGGGUUACUCCGCCGUGUCCAGGCCAACAUCGGUUCUGGGGGUCGGUUAAAGGCCCGGGGAAUGUAUCUACUCCUCCGGGGGUAGACUUAUAGCCCCGGGUGUCAUGCGACCACCCGGGACCGAGGAACGCGCUUCGGCUCGGAUGUUGGCGUAAUGGUUGUCAGCGACCCGUCUUGAAACACGGACCAAGGAGUCUAACAUCUAUGCGAGUGUUUGGGUGUCAAACCCGGAACGCGGAAUGAAAGUGAACGGAGGUAGGAAGCCUUUAGGCUGCACUAUCGACCGAUCCUGAUGUCUUCGGAUGGAUUUGAGUAAGAGCAUAGCUGUUGGGACCCGAAAGAUGGUGAACUAUGCCUGAAUAGGGUGAAGCCAGAGGAAACUCUGGUGGAGGCUCGCAGCGGUUMUGACGYKCAAAUCKAUMGUCAAAUUUGGGUAUAGGGGCGAAAGACUAAUCGAACCAUCUGGUAGCUGGUUCCUGCCGA